rnacentral:rRNA from 1 species
AACGAACGCUGGCGGCAGGCCUAACACAUGCAAGUCGAACGCCCCGCCAGGGGAGUGGCAGACGGGUGAGUAACACGUGGGAACCUUCCCUAUAGUACGGAAUAGCCCAGGGAAACUUGGAGUAAUACCGUAUACGCCCGAAAGGGGAAAGAAUUUCGCUAUAGGAUGGGCCCGCGUAGGAUUAGCUAGUUGGUGAGGUAAUGGCUCACCAAGGCGACGCUCCUUAGCUGGUUUGAGAGAACGACCAGCCACACUGGGACUGAGACACGGCCCAGACUCCUACGGGAGGCAGCAGUGGGGAAUAUUGGACAAUGGGCGCAAGCAUGAUCCAGCCAGGCCGGGUGAGUGAUGAAGGCCUUAGGGUUGUAAAGCUCUUUUGGCGGGGACGAUAAUGACGGUACCCGAAGAAUAAGUCCCGGCUAACUUCGUG